GUGUCAGCCGCCGCGGUAAGACGGAGGGGGCAAGCGUUGUUCGGAAUUAUUGGGCGUAAAGGGCGCGUAGGCGGAUCUGUGUGUCUGACGUGAAAUCUCCACCACUUAACGGGGAGAGGUCGUUGGAAACUGCAGAUCUGGAGUUUGUCAGAGGACCAUGGAAUUCCAGGUGUAGCGGUGGAAUGCGUAGAUAUCUGGAAGAACACCGGUGGCGAAGGCGGUGGUCUGGGGCAAAACUGACGCUGAGGCGCGAAAGCCAGGGGAGCAAACGGGAUUAGAAACCCGCGUAGUCC
rnacentral:rRNA from 1 species